UGGGGAAUAUUGCACAAUGGGCGCAAGCCUGAUGCAGCCAUGCCGCGUGUAUGAAGAAGGCCUUCGGGUUGUAAAGUACUUUCAGCGAGGAGGAAGGCAUUGUGGUUAAUAACCGCAGUGAUUGACGUUACUCGCAGAAGAAGCACCGGCUAACUCCGUGCCAGCAGCCGCGGUAAUACGGAGGGUGCAAGCGUUAAUAGGAAUUACUGGGCGUAAAGCGCACGCAGGCGGUCUGUCAAGUCGGAUGUGAAAUCCCCGGGCUCAACCUGGGAACUGCAUCCGAAACUGGCAGGCUAGAGUCUUGUAGAGGGGGGUAGAAUUCCAGGUGUAGCGGUGAAAUGCGUAGAGAUCUGGAGGAAUACCGGUGGCGAAGGCGGCCCCCUGGACAAAGACUGACGCUCAGGUGCGAAAGCGUGGGGAGCAAACA
rnacentral:rRNA from 1 species